GCUGGAAUAGCUCAAUUGGUUAGAGCGUGUGGUUGUUAACCAUAAGGUCAAAGGUUUAAACCCUUCUUUUAGCG
rfam:Ipomoea nil DNA, scaffold: scaffold2653, cultivar: Tokyo-kokei standard.